GAUGAACGCUGGCGGCGUGCCUAAUACAUGCAAGUCGAGCGAACGGACGAGAAGCUUGCUUCUCUGAUGUUAGCGGCGGACGGGUGAGUAACACGUGGAUAACCUACCUAUAAGACUGGGAUAACUUCGGGAAACCGGAGCUAAUACCGGAUGAUAUUUUGCACCGCAUGGUUCAAAAGUGAAAGACGGUCUUGCUGUCACUUAUAGAUGGAUCCGCGCUGCAUUAGCUAGUUGGUAAGGUAACGGCUUACCAAGGCAACGAUGCAUAGCCGACCUGAGAGGGUGAUCGGCCACACUGGAACUGAGACACGGUCCAGACUCCUACGGGAGGCAGCAGUAGGGAAUCUUCCGCAAAGGGCGAAAGCCUGACGGAGCAACGCCGCGUGAGUGAUGAAGGUCUUCGGAUCGUAAAACUCUGUUAUUAGGGAAGAACAUAUGUGUAAGUAACUGUGCACAUCUUGACGGUACCUAAUCAGAAAGCCACGGCUAACUACGUG
rnacentral:rRNA from 1 species